CAUAAUAGAGUCCGGACCCAGCACGGUACUGAGUACUGAGUAAACUUAUUAAAAUAUAGAUCUAGAUCUAAUUAGUGAGAUCAAGAGUCUACAUUGACUAUCUAUGUAACAUAAGAAUAAGAGUCUAAGAAACUUUAGUCACUCAACAUAUUGUAUCGUUUUUCGCGUCAUCUGUGGAAAUUAAUGUGUUUGUUGAAACAAGCGCAAUGCCUGAAGCAGACUUUAAUCAUUAUAUUUAUCAUAUUUAUGCAAACCAAACAACGCCGACAAUGGCCAUAGCUUUAUUAACCCCAAAUACAGAGCUACAUUCUGGCCGGUAUUAUGCUCGUCUCAACGUCAGUAUAAGACAUGAUCUGAAGUUGCCAUUACAUUUGACUUCAGGUAUUCAAGAAACUGAGACCCAGAAUCUGGAGGUCUUUGACGUGAACCCUCCAGACAGAGUAGAGCCAGAGGCAUUCAACAACACAUUAUCCACAGAAGACAACAACCCACACCUUCCAGGAGGACAACAUCAGACUAGAUCUACCAGUGAUCCAUUUGGCAUUAUCUGGAAGGUGUGAGAACUAUGUAAAAACUGCAAACAAGAUGUACAGUUGACAAGCUCAGUUUUGCAUCUCAGUGAUGGAACUCUCUAAAGAAAUAGCAACUUGUUUGAUGGUCUUUUCGAAACUUGAUAAACAGUGGAUUGUCUCAUUGUGCGAAGGGUGAGACAGAAAUAUGGUAAAAUUUACUGAAGGAAAUCUAUUUCAUAAAAAAGAAAUUACUUGACAUUAAAUUCACUAACGCUAACAAGUGAGCACAAUUCUAUAAUGUGUUCAGUUACAAGGAUUCUCAAACUGCAUUCCAAGACUCAAAAAAACCCUUGAUGAAAUCAUAUUAAUUAGAAGCUAAGGAACGGCCAAAGUUGAAUUGGAGCUGCACUGAAGAACAACUUGAUGCAGUAUUCUCAUUUGGUCAAGCAAUAGUACUUCUGAGUUUAUAGACUUGAGACUUAACACAUUGACACUAUUAAAUCAACAACUCUGCGAAGAGCUAUAUCAAAAUGACACAAAAUCUCAAGGAUGACUUUUUAUUUAUUUACAGAAGCACCUGAACUGUUUGAAGAACAGGGCAGACAGUGUUGUAAAAAAUGUGUUCCUUUCAUGAAACUAGCAAAAAAUAAGUGAUAUACUUAGACCUUAAAGUAUCUCUUUUUAUCUGAAAUCCUUGACGUAAAAAAAACUUUGCUUUAAAAUUUUGGUGUGUCAUAAAUCAGUUGAUUCAAUGGAUUAUCUGUCAAAUUCUUUGAAUUUUAAUUUUAGAUUAUAAGCACGAAUCAAAUUUAUUCAUUUUUUUGCUAGUACCAUGAGGAAGGCUUUAGCAGAAUAGGAAAUAAUAAUUGACAUUUGUGGAUGAAAAAUAUUUUUAAAACUAAAUUUGAUGGCUUCAUUAUCCACUGCCAUAUUUCUGUUUUCUCCUAUUAUUUUGUGUGUAUUGACUGAACAGCAUUUCAUGGUUUAUAUAUAACUAUACUCGUAUAAUUCAUUUUUUUUAAUAUAUAUUUAUAUUUUCUAUGCAGAUUACUAUUUUUAUAUAUUUGAGAGUUGCCUUUACUUUUAUUUGAAGUGAUUGGACUCUUGAAUACUGGUACUGUGUACAUACUAAGAUUUAGGUCAAGGGUUAGGGCAGGGGACUGUUUUUUUUUAGUACACAUGGCUUAUUUUUCUAGAGGAAAUAGUUGAAUUUUAAUUUGAACUUGACAUGUGAAAUAUUGUUUAGAGAAGGAAAAAGAAUUUUAGAGAUUUGUUGCUAGCAUUUUUUAAAAAUCCUGGUCCACCUAUUGGUACAGUAGUGAUAGGUCACUUGCGGCAUAUUGUUAUUGCAACCAAUGUAAUUUAACAAUAAGCCCCAGAGACUAAAUGUCCCUUGUUGCAAGUCUCAUGUUGCAAGUCAUGGUUACUGCACUACUAAGAUUUCCCUGGGUCAAGUGUCAUGUAAGUACUGUACCAACAGGUGUGUUAGGAGACAGCCAAGCUUUGGGUAAUGUAACACUAAGAAUCCAAUCCAGUUGUUAACUUUUUUUCUAUUGUAAAAAAAAAAAUUAUCUUUUGUGAAUUUUCGUUUACGCACCCUUGACCUAAAUAAUAUGUAUGCAGGUCGUCUGGUAGAACCACAGUACAUCCGGUGGACGCAAGUGACAAUCGCCUCGCCAUUCUCAGCUGUGUACUGGUUAAUGAAGUACUUCACCAGUGCACGGCUGAGAAUGGCACGACCGCUAUCACUUGCCGGUUCACCGGUUAGGGUAGUUCUACCAGGCAACCCUAAAUAAUUAUAAUGAGCACAGGUCAUCAGGUAGAACUGCUACAUUCUGGUCAACGCAAGUAAUGUUUAUCGCACCACUCUCAUCUGUGGAUUGGUUAAUGAAAUACUUAACCAGUGCACGGCUGAGGCUGGUGCGAUGAAUAUCACUUGCGCUCCCGGGCUGUAGCAGUUCUAACAGAUGACCUGUGCUUAUUGUUUUUUUUUUACUUUGUCUCAAUGUGUUACAGAAUCAUUCAAUUCAUUCUGGUCUUUCAUCAUUUUUGUAUCUUUCAACGGGUGUCAGGUGAGUAAACAACGAGAGGGUCACGGUUAAGUAACAGAUCUUUUGCGUGGUGAGGUUGGGAGGUUCGUACUUUUGCUUUACAACUUUAUAGCUGCCUUCAAAGAAACUCUUGGUGCAAUGGGACAAUGAGUGCAUCGCACUUGGAACAUUGAAGUUUGUUAAAAAAAAGAAAGGAAUUCUCUACAAGAUAUGGAUGAGACAGAAAGAAUGAUUGUUUGUGCUCAGCUAUAGCUCUCUAUCAGUACACACAUCACAGUAAUCUUAAAGUAUUUUUUACUUUAUAGAUCUCUUGGUGUGUGUACUGAUAGAGAGCUGUAGGGGAACAUAGACACUCAUUCUUUCUCAUUCAUAUCUUGUAGAGAAUUACUUUCUUCUUUCUAUUUAGGUUGUCAUCGCACUUGGAACAUUGAAGUUUGUUAAAAAAAGAAAGGAAUUCUCUACAAGAUAUGGAUGAGAGAAAGAAUGAUUGUUUGUGCUCAGCUAUAGCUCUCUAUCAGUACACACAUCACAGUAAUCUUAAAGUAUUUUUGACUUUAUAGAUCACUUGGUGUGUGUACUGAUAGAGAGCUGUAGGGGAUCUUACACACUCAUUCUUUCUGUCUCAUUCAUGUCAUGUAAAGAAUUACUUUCUUCUAUUUAUGUUGUCAUUGCACUUGGAACAUUGAAGUUUGUUAAAAAAAAGAAAGGAAUUCUCUACAAGAUAUGGAUGAGACAGACAGAAUGAGUGUGUUCAGCUAUAGCUCUCUAUCAGUACACACAUCACAGUAAUCUUAAAGUAUCUUACUUUAUAGAUCUCUUGGUGUGUGUACUGAUAGAGAGCUGUAGGGGAACAUAGACACUCAUUCUUUCUCAUUCAUAUCUUGUAGAGAAUUACUUUCUUCUUUCUAUUUAGGUUGUCAUCGCACUUGGAACAUUGAAGUUUGUUAAAAAAAAGAAAGGAAUUCUCUACAAGAUAUGGAUGAGACAGAAAGAAUGAUUGUUUGUGCUCAGCUAUAGCUAUCAGUACACACAUCACAGUAAUCUUAAAGUAUUUUUUACUUUAUAGAUCUCUUUGUGUGUGUACUGAUAGAGAGCUGUAGGGGAACAUAGACACUCAUUCUUUCUGUCUCAUUCAUGUCUUGUAGAGAAUUCCUUUCUUCUUUCUAUUUACCUCACCACACAAAAGAUCAGUUACGCAACGGUGACCCUCUAUUGUUCACUCACCUGUCCCCCGUUGAAUCAUACCCACAAUCAUUAAGACGUGUCAUUUUAAAGCUUAACAGGGUUGUAGGCCUUACAAUAGAACCUGUUAGGCUGAAAUCACACGAGUUGAUGAUAAAAAUUGGGUUUUCGGGGCCCUCGUUGAUGGCCCAUCAACCAGGGCCCGUAUCACCCAAGAUGAUUGAUGGAGUGAAUUGGUGAUUUUAUGACUUGUUGAGACAAAGUAAGUCUCAGCUGUUUACUGUUUCAUCAUAUUGUGAAGAAUUGCAUUGUUGUUCUUUUUACAUUUAACAUUGAAAUUGUCUUACAUUAAUUAUGUGCCCAUUGUGGUAAUGGAUGUAUGAGAAUAUUAUAGGGCUGUAUGAUUCCACUGUUUUUCUAAGACAAGAUAUGACCAGCUACGAGUGUUUUGUGAAAUUGUUUUCUAACUCAGCCUGAAUAAGAUCAGCUAUAGAUUCAGUAGUGCAAUAUUCUGAUUAUUUCCACAUCAGGUUACAUUUGAAAUUAAUUAUUUAUUUAGUUUUUUUGUUUGUUUAUUUUUUCAAAUUUGUGAGCAAUUUCUAACAUGUGUACAACAUUGUAGGAAUUUUAUUGUUGAAACUCCAAAAAUAUGUUGAUUGUACACUAAUGGUUAAUUUUUAGUUCCAUGGCCAGGCUUUUCUGAGACUGUCAACUGUCUCCAAUUAUUUGAUGCCUAUUAUUUCCUUUCAUUUAUAUCAGACUUACUCUACAGAAGCUCUAUUUCUAUCUUUUCAAAUUUGAUUUCAACAAAGUCUCUAAUUUUAAUAUUUAUUUCACAUUUAGUUGAAAUAAAAUUUUAAAUGAAAAAUC